UGGGGAAUAUUGCACAAUGGGGGGAAACCCUGAUGCAGCGACGCCGCGUGAGUGAAGAAGUAUUUCGGUAUGUAAAGCUCUAUCAGCAGGAAAGAAAAUGACGGUACCUGACUAAGAAGCCCCGGCUAACUACGUGCCAGCAGCCGCGGUAAUACGUAGGGGGCAAGCGUUAUCCGGAUUUACUGGGUGUAAAGGGAGCGUAGACGGUUAUGCAAGUCUGAAGUGAAAUGCGGGGGCUUAACCCCUGAACUGCUUUGGAAACUGUAAAACUGGAGUGCAGGAGAGGUAAGUGGAAUUCCUAGUGUAGCGGUGAA
rnacentral:rRNA from 1 species